CAUUUACACAUAAAAUAUAGUUAUAAAUAUUUCCAAACAGGGUGUUCCUCGCUGCAGACAUUAUGAUGCGGUAGACCAUGGGCAUCCAGAGAGCUGUGCUGAUGCUCCUUGCUGGGUUCUCCUCUUUCUUUGGACUGGUUAGCGCGUACACGAAAAAAGUUAUAGCCGCCUGCAGAAGUCCGGCGCCCUGCAGCUAGUGACCACGUACCUGACGAUGGCCCAUUCUGCCUUGCAUCGCCUUUAUACGGUUUUGUUUGCAAUAUUCUCAAUACUAAUUAUUGGCACUUCGGCGUGUUGCAAAAAGAAAGUUCCUUGCUCUGGCCGAGCUCCUUGCAGGCGUGGACCGUAUAGGCAUUAAUGACACGACAAACUUUGAGUCGUUUGGGAAAAGUGGCCAUACGAGUACCAAGUUUCCAAAAUGUAUACAAGUUUUGGAAAUUUAUGGGUAGCAGACACCUGGAGUAGCUUCUACUGCUGGAGACAGUUCAGAAGAAUGGAAAAAGUCGACAGCAACAUUGAUGUGUGGCAGACCCGACAGAUAGCAGAAAUAGAACAAAAAAUAUUUUUUGGAAACCCAGCGAAACGACCCAUGCGCUUUGAAACUAUGUUCAAAAUUUUGCAGUAACUAUUCACCGCGGAAAUUUGAGUAUAUGAUGUCAAAUCAUUGGGAGCGCCUACUCAUCAUCGUCUGCCUGUUGGCCGCGUGGCUUCUGGAAGUUACCUGCUGCGGUCAGAAACGUAUCACUUGCACUCCUAAUAACCCACCCUGUAAAAAAUAACUGAUCUGCCGGCUUCCUGGCAAUGGACAAAGCUUUUAUCCAAGAGGUUGUGAUACUGCUGGUGACUCUGUUCCUCUCAUACCUGGAAACCUGCCUCGAGUGCUCUCCGCUAGACUACCUUUACUGCAACGAGAACAACUUGGUGAAGGAGUAGAUGUUCAGUACUCCUUGCAUUUAUAUGUAUCAAUGAUAAUGGUGCUAUUAAAUGAAUUUUUCCUGGUAUUCAUACAUAUCGCGCUGUCUGUGUUGGACGUGACUCAGGGAUGCAAACGGCGUAGGUUUUUGUGUCGUCGUAACUCAUACUGCCGACCCUGUCACCCUGACCUAGGAUAUCAACCAAGCGCUGUCAAGGUGAUCAUACCAAAGUAAUGUUCAAGUAUAUUCUCGAACUGUUCCUGUUCGUUGCCUUGUUUCUUGGUGACGUCUUAGCUUGCAGGCAACAACAUAGAGGUAUUAAGGGUGACAAAUUUUGCUGUCGCAGGCCUGAUACAAUGCCCAAAGGCAAAGGCAAAGGCAAAGGCAAAUAAGUUGUAAAGUUUGAAAAGGAACUUCUUAUCUUGUAUGCACGAGAUCACCCUGAUCUAGGAUAUGACCCAUGCCCUAUCAGGGUGAUUGUACCAAAGUAAUGUUCAAGAAUAUUCUCGAAUUGUUCCUGCUCAUUGCCUUGUUUAUUGGCGACGUCUUAGCUUGCAGGCAACAACAUAUCAAGAGUGACAAAGUUUGCUGUCGCAGGCCUGAUACAAUGCCCAAAGGCACAGGCAAAGGCAAAGGCAAAGGCAAAUGAGUUGUAAAGUUUGAAAAGGAACUUAGAGAUUGAGGUGCAACGUAACGCUGUGUAACGCUUUUCUUCGUCCGUAUCUAGCUAAAUAUUAUGUCCUCUGCAACUAUUGAGGAGUUGUCUUUAAAGUUCUGUGCCAAAAACCGAUGUUCCAGGAUGAGGUUCGCCAAGGCGUGCGUGCUGCUACUGCAGCUGGGCGCCGUGGUGAUAGCCUACUACCGUCACAAUACCUACACCGACGUGUCGAGCCACUACAACACAAUCGAUGUUGAAGUCAUAUAUCCUAAAAAGAAUACAUGACAGCCGUUUCAUCGAAGUCGCAAGAUGUCAAACAAAAUCAAUAGUUUGUAGAUAACAAUAAAAU